GCUCCCGCCCUUGGCCCUGCCCGCUUAGCCUCAGCUCCGCCCCUCAAGCUCUGGUAGACCCUCCCUGAAGGCCCCUCCCCUACCCCUAAAGUACCUCCCCCUCCCUCCUCAGUUUCCUUUCCCAGGGUCGAGCUCCGGGUCCUGAGGGUCGGUUUACAGGGUCCCAGCCGAGGCUUCCGGGCCGAGCAGUGGGCGCGGGCGGUUCACCUGACUACGACCGGGGUCGCACGCAUUCGAAGCAGAGGCAGUAGGCAAAGACCUUCAUUGCUUUAAAUCAUUCAAUGAUCGGCGAACCCCUUGGAAUGAAUCAAAGCAUGCCCGCUCUCCAGAUGAGGAAAUGGAGGCUGAGAGAGAUUGCCUAGAGUGAAACACAGUAAAGAAACGUCUGGGGAUUCAAACCCAGAUCACGCUGACACCACAAAGCCAGUGCCCUGACCACCGCCUCGUCGCCGACCCUCGCAUUUCCCUGAGAGCAGCCGGCCCUCGCGUGCGGAGUGUGGGCAGGAAUCCGCACUGCGAGGAGAGACGGCUGGGGGAGCAGUCGCUCUCCGCGGCCUCUGCCCUCGCCGGCUGUGAGAUCCCGGAGGCUGGUGUCAGCUAAGCUGGGAGCCGAGGGGGCUGGCGCCCUGAUCCGUGAAUGACCCCCACGGUCCCGCGGCAGCCCCGGCUGGAGCCUAUCGCAGCAUCUCCCCCUCCCCUCAGGGGACCAAAAGGAAAGGCCCACCCGAGUCACCUCACAGAAUCGUUGUGAAGAUUAAAGGGAGCUAUAGUAAAAACUGGAAAACCAAUGCAACAAACAGAUAUUACACUGUAUUUUUAAAAACUCAUUUUAAGGCUAUAUAGUCUAUUUACUAGGUUCCUUUCAAUAUGCCUUCCACUGUUGGACGCGAAAUCUGGUCACAUGUCAUCUUUUAUUUCAUGUCCUCAAAAAUAGUAUUUAUCAUAAUCAGUGACGACUUCCUUCAUAAUAGAUUAUAUUCACAUGUAUUCUCUCUUCCCUCUCAAAUGUCGUAACUACCCAUUUUGAAAGAAAAUUUCAGAACAUCAUUUUCUCUGCAUUCCCCUCCUCACUUUUUUUUUUUUUCAAAUCACAUUUAUUUUAAAUUUAUUUAUUUAAUUAUU